rnacentral:rRNA from 1 species
UACGAAGGGGGCUAGCGUUGUUCGGAAUUACUGGGCGUAAAGGGCGCGUAGGCGGUACUUCAAGUCAGGCGUGAAAGCCCCGGGCUCAACCUGGGAACCGCGCUUGAGACUGGAGAACUAGAGUUCGGGAGAGGAUGGUGGAAUUCCCAGUGUAGAGGUGAAAUUCGUAGAUAUUGGGAAGAACACCGAUGGCGAAGGCAGCCAUCUGGACCGACACUGACGCUGAGGCGCGAAAGCGUGGGGAGCAAACGGG